UACAGAGACUGCAAGCGUUAUUCGGAUUCACUGGGCGUAAAGGGUGCGCAGGCGGUCGGGUGUGUCAGAUGUGAAAUCCCGAGGCUCAACCUCGGAACUGCGUCUGAAACUACUCGACUAGAGUACUGGAGAGGGUAACGGAAUUCACGGUGUAGCAGUGAAAUGCGUAGAUAUCGUGAGGAACACCAGAGGCGAAGGCGGUUACCUGGACAGUUAUUGACGCUCAGGCACGAAAGCAUGGGGAGCAAAAGGG
rnacentral:rRNA from 1 species